CAGUUCGGACUGGAGUCUGCAACCCGACUCCACGAAGCUGGAUUCGCUAGUAAUCGCGCAUCAGCCAUGGCGCGGUGAAUACGUUCCCGGGCCUUGUACACACCGCCCGUCAAGCCAUGAAAGCCGGGGGUGCCUGAAGUCCGUGACCGCGAGGGUCGGCCUAGGGUAAAACUGGUGAUUGGGGCUAAGUCGUAACAAGGUAGC
rnacentral:rRNA from 1 species